rnacentral:rRNA from 1 species
AACGUAGGAGGCGAGCGUUAUCCGGAUUUACUGGGCGUAAAGCGCACGCAGGCGGCUCGGCAAGUUGGGCGUAAAAGCUCCUGGCUUAACUGGGAGAGGUCGUUCGAAACUACCGGGCUUGAGGUUGGGAGAGGGGUGUGGAAUUCCCGGUGUAGUGGUGGAAUGCGUAGAUAUCGGGAGGAACACCAGUGGCGAAGGCGGCACCCUGGCCCACACCUGACGCUGAUGUGCGAAAGCGUGGGGAG